ACGGAGUUGUGUUGAAAGCUUGCUGGAAAUACAACUUAGUGGCGGACGGGUGAGUAACACGUGAGUAACCUGCCUUUCAGAGUGGAAUAACGUUUGGAAACGAACGCUAAUACCGCAUAACAUGAGAGAACGGCAUCGUUCUUUCAUCAAAGAUUUUAUCGCUGAGAGAUGGGCUCGCGGCCGAUUAGGUAGUUGGUGAGAUAACAGCCCACCAAGCCGACGAUCGGUAGCCGGACUGAGAGGUUGAACGGCCACAUUGGGACUGAGACACGGCCCAGACUCCUACGGGAGGCAGCAGUGGGGGAUAUUGCACAAUGGAGGAAACUCUGAUGCAGCGACGCCGCGUGAGGGAAGACGGUCUUCGGAUUGUAAACCUCUGUCUUUAGGGACGAAAAAAUGACGGUACCUAAGGAGGAAGCCACGGCUAACUACGUGCCAGCAGCCGCGGUAAUACGUAGGUGGCAAGCGUUGUCCGGAAUUACUGGGUGUAAAGGGAGCGUAGGCGGGGAGACAAGUUGAAUGUUUAAACUAUCGGCUCAACUGAUAGUCGCGCUCAAAACUAUCACUCUUGAGUGCAGUAGAGGUAGGCGGAAUUCCUAGUGUAGCGGUGAAAUGCGUAGAUAUUAGGAGGAACACCAGUGGCGAAGGCGGCCUACUGGGCUGUAACUGACGCUGA
rnacentral:rRNA from 1 species